rnacentral:rRNA from 1 species
UAAGCGGGAUGUGAAAUCCAAGUGCUCAACCCUUGAACUGCAUUUCGAACUGGCAGACUUGAGAAUGGGAGAGGAAGCUGGAAUUCCUAGUGUAGGAGCGAAAUCCGUAGAUAUUAGGAGGAACACCAAUGGCGAAGGCAGGCUUCUGGCCCAUUUCUGACGCUGAGGCACGAAAGCGUGGGAGCGAACGGGAUUAGAUACCCCGGUAGUCCACGCCGUAAACGAUGGAUACUA